GAAAAAAAAAAAGUCAUUCUCAACCCCUAGAUUAAAGGUCAACUAUGUGUGUCCUUGCAUUCUUCCUGCACCUUUCUUACUUUUUCUAGCCAAAACUGGGGAGUGAAAAAAAGUUUUCUAAGAUAAUGCACUGACAGACAAUCUGUGACUUUGCGGAGAAGGCGCUGUCCCGCUGCCGGGCGAGAUCGGACCCGGUCGCUCUCUUCCACCCCCACAGCGGGCUGCACACCCCUCCGGAGGAAGUGACCAGGAAGGGUCCAAGGAGGCACAGCCCCAGCCCGCAGCUCCCCAGAAGUAGAGGCAAUGACCCAGUCAGGAUCUUCGGGGCAGACAGUCUCAAGGUCCGGUGUCCACUGUAAGGAGGGUCCUCACCCCCAACCAGGUCCGGUGGAGAAAAACCAAUCUGCCACAGGAUACACCCAUCGCAACCCAAUCUGUGCAAUUGCGCAUCUCGGAGGCCUGUGGGCAAGGCGGAGGGUGGGGCUAAGAGAGAGCGGAGAGCGGCAGUUGGACAGAGUGGGGCCACGCCCACCGCGCCAACAUCUUUGCGCAUGCGCCAGGCGUCAGCUACUGGUAUUUUCGGCGCGUUAGCGAGCGCACUGCUCAGUUCUUCUCUGGACGUCGGAGGUGCAGUUUGGGGCUCCGCGUUUCGAGAGCCUCUGCAAAAAGCCUCUCUUGGUGCUUGGUUUCGGCAGGAAGGCGUCUGUUGGGCCUUUCUCUCCUCGAGUGAGGCGUCGACGGCUUUUGGAAGUGAGUUUUCGGGAAGGGGUUCUCGAAGACAAAAUAACUCCGAAGCCACCGACCGAGAUGUCCAACUACGUGAACGAUCUGUGGCCGGGCUCGCCGCACAAGGCCUCCCCUUCGUCAUCGCGGUCGGGCCGGUCCAGCCGCCCGUCCUCGGCGUCCGGGAGCCGCUCUCCGUCCCGGUCCAGCGUCUCGAGCCGGAUGUGGUCCCGGAACCGCAGCCGCAGCCGGAGCCCAUCCCGGCGAAGGAGCCGGUCGGGGUCGCGCUCUCGAAGGCGCCACCAGAGGAGAUACCGGCGCUACUCGAGGUCCUACUCGCGCAGCCACUCGCGGUCCCGCAGCCGCCGGUUCCGAGAGAGGCGCUACGGAUCCUCCAGGAGGCCCGGUCGCUCCCGCAGCCGCUCCCGCAGCCGCUCCCGCGGCCGCUCGUAUUACCCGAGGGCCUACACCAUCGCACGGGGCCGCCGCUACUAUGGCUUCGGCCGCACCGAGCACCGCAGAAGCUGGAGGAGCCGAUCCCGGACCAGGUCUCGGAGCCCAACCCCCUUUCGCUUGAGUGAAAAAGAUCGGAUGGAGCUGUUAGAAAUAGCAAAAGCCAAUGCAGCGAAAGCUUUAGGAACAACCAACUUCGACUUGCCAGCUAGUCUCAGAACUGUUUCUGUAUUUAAAGAAACAAACUCUGGAACAGCUGUCCUGAACGGUGCAAAGACUGAGGUAAGUAGUUUAGGUUCAUCCGAAUAAAAUCUUCAGAAAAUUACUGCCAGAAAGAGCUGAUUAGCUUUUUUAUUAUUACUAUUUGCCCUAGACUGCUCCUUGGAAAAGCUAGCUAAAUAUAAUUUGUUAAAAUAACAGGUCUGACAAUACUAGACAAAAGUCUCCCCCAUGAAAAUGGGAGACUUAUAAACUUUCUUCUUAGUUGACAUAGUAUUACUUGUGUAAUUAUAGCUGGUACUUUGAUGAUUUUAUAUAGUUAUCAAGUUUUUCUAGCUAGCUUUUACAGAGUAUUUAUCUAUAGCUUUCAUUUGCAGCAUUAAGUUCCCACAGAUUCUGUACUCAACAUACAGUAUAGUUUAUCUGCUUUAUUUCUGUCUUAUAGAAAUCAUGAAUGUGGUCUCCAGACAUUGAUGAAGAAAAUCUGUUGAUGUUUUGAGAGAUUACAGAAGAAGAGGCCUGCUUCACUUGCAGAUAAGUUUAUUAUAAUUCUCCAGAAAU